ensembl:lncRNA
CUUCACUGCAUUUGAGUGUUCUAACAUGAUUGUACUGAGCUGUAUCUUUGUUCUGACCAACAAACAUUGUGAGAAAAAUAUGAGUUCCUUCAGUGCAUAGCACUGUGUUAAAGCAAAAAGGUGAAGCUAACUUAAGCCAGGAUAUAAGACAUAAUAUGGAUAAUAUCAAAAAAUAUAUUAAGGACUUCCCUAGUGGUCCAGUGGUUAAGACUGCACACUUUCACUGCAGGGAACACAAGUUUUAUCCCUGGUGGGGAACUAGGAUCACAAAUGCUGUGCAGCUUGACCAAAAGAAAGUGAAAGUGAAAUCACUCAGUCGUGUCUGACUGUUUGCGACCCCGUGGACUGUAGCCCACCAGACUCCUGCGUCCAAGGGAUUCUCCAGGCAAGAAUACUGGAGUGGGUUGCCAUUUCCUUCUCCAGGGGAUCUUCCCAACCAAGGGAUCGAACCCAGGUCUCCCACAUUGCAGGCCGAUGCUUUAACCUCUGAGCCACCAGGGAAGCCCAAAGAAAAAAAGGAUGUAUUAAUUAAAUGACUGCUUUUACGUGCAUACAAAUGGUUAAGUGUGUGGGAUGAUGGCAGAGGGUUGGGACUGGUGAGAGCUAGGUUUUCAAAAUACUCAAGGUUGAAGUGGAUUCCUGAAGGUACUAGAAUUAAGGAAGAGAAAGGCUUAGAGAACAUUUAGAAAGAGGAAAUUCAGUGGGAUAGAAAAGUGAGGUGACGAGCAGAUGAAGCCACUGAGACCAGCCUGUGGAAUAUCCUGUGACACUUCUAGGCCUUGAGGAAGGCUAAGGAGAAGGAUCCCUUGAAAGAGUGGGCCACCGCAGUGCCUGUGGGGGUGACAGAAACAGAGGACCCACCUACACUUUUCACGGUCUCUGAGUUUUGAACACAGGAGGCCUGCAGAUCUUUCCUGUUAAAUUCAUGGGUAAAAUGCAGUUUGGGGCUUCCCAGAUGGCUCAGUGGUAAAGAACCCACCUGACAAUGCAGGAGACCUGGGUCUGAUCACUGGGUUGGGAAGAUCCCCUGCAGAAGGAAAUGGCAACUCACUCUAGUAUUCUUGCCUGGGAAAUCCCACAGACAGAGGAGCCUAGCGGGCUGCAGUCUGUGGGGUCCCAAAAGAGUCAGACAUGACUUAGCAACUAAAACAAUAAGUAAGUGUGCUUGGGACUUAGGAAAAUGUUCUGAGGCACUGAAGUUUCUUUAUCUGCAUGUACUAGUGUGAUAGCCACUUGCUAUUGACUGUUGAACACUUGAAAUGUGACAAAUCUGAUUUGAGAAGUGCUCUAAGUUUACAC